rnacentral:rRNA from 1 species
UACGGAGGGGGCUAGCGUUAUUCGGAAUUACUGGGCGUAAAGCGCACGUAGGCGGACUGGAAAGUUGGGGGUGAAAGCCCAGGGCUCAACCCUGGAACUGCCCUCAAAACUCCCAGUCUUGAGGUCGAGAGAGGUGAGUGGAAUUCCGAGUGUAGAGGUGAAAUUCGUAGAUAUUCGGAGGAACACCAGUGGCGAAGGCGGCUCACUGGCUCGAUACUGACGCUGAGGUGCGAAAGCGUGGGGAGCAAACAGG